rnacentral:rRNA from 1 species
AUUGAACGCUGGCGGCAUGCCUUACACAUGCAAGUCGAACGGCAGCACGGGUGCUUGCACCUGGUGGCGAGUGGCGAACGGGUGAGUAAUACAUCGGAACGUACCUUAUCGUGGGGGGAUAACGCAGCGAAAGUUGCGCUAAUACCGCAUACGCACUGAGGGGGAAAGCGGGGGACCGUAAGGCCUCGCGCGAUUAGAGCGGCCGGUGUCUGAUUAGCUUGUUGGUGGGGUAAAAGCCCACCAAGGCGACGAUCAGUAGCUGGUCUGAGAGGACGAUCAGCCACACUGGGACUGAGACACGGCCCAGACUCCUACGGGAGGCAGCAGUGGGGAAUUUUGGACAAUGGGGGCAACCCUGAUCCAGCAAUGCCGCGUGAGUGAAGAAGGCCUUCGGGUUGUAAAGCUCUUUUGUCAGGGAAGAAACACCGGCUCUAACACAGUCCGGGAAUGACGGUACCUGAAGAAUAAGCACCGGCUAACUACGUGCCAGCCGCCGCGGUAA